UACUGUUGUUCAUCCUGUUA
rnacentral:siRNA from 1 species